UACGUAGGGGGCAAGCGUUGUCCGGAUUUAUUGGGCGUAAAGAGCUCGUAGGUGGUUUGGUAAGUCGGAUGUGAAAUCUCCAGGCUCAACCUGGAGGGGUCAUUCGAUACUGCCAUGACUAGAGGUCGGUAGGGGAGUGUGGAAUUCCUGGUGGAGCGGUGAAAUGCGUAGAUAUCUGGAGGAACACCGGUGGCGAAGGCGGCAUCCUGGACCAACACUGACGCUGAGUGAGCGAAAGCCAGGGGAGCAAACGGG
rnacentral:rRNA from 1 species